ACACAGACCUCACGAUGGACGUAGACCCCCCAACAAACACAGACCUCCCAACAAACGCAGACUUAGAGCCAGAACCCUGUUCCCCAAUGAUUUUGACCGUCCUCACACCAGAGGAUGCUGUGAAACUGCUUGCUGAAACAGAGGCACCAGACACAGACCUCAAAACGGUCGUAGACCUCACAACAGACUCGGACACAGAACCCCUUUCCCCAAUGAAUUUGACCAUCUUGACAUCUGAGGAUGCCAUGAGACUGUUUUGCCAGAUCGAGAAUGGCUCUGACCUCCAAUUCGCGUCCCCUGAAUCCUGCUCUGAAGACAAAGAUAAGACACAGACAAAGCAACUAGAGAAUAUAGAAAGUGGCAGCUUAGAUAAGUCUUGCUACUGUCCUUGUGGUAUUGAAACUGACAAUGGGUUUGAAAUGGGCCUAUGCUCCAGUUGUCAGAGAGAGAAAGGAUUGCAGCAAGAUACAAGAUGCAUAACAAUCGCUCACUGCUUUACCAUGUCAUGUACAAAUGAUCAGGAGACAGAGGUCCCCAAGGACUCUGGGGGGAAGGUGACUGUUGACAGUCAAUGCAAGGACAAGAAGCAGAUACAUUCAACUGAAGAAGAGGGUGAUGACAAUAAAUCCAGUGACAAUAAGACACAGGGUGAAAUGCAGCAAAUGACAGGCGUCAUACCGAUCAUUGACUUUUUUUUCUGGUCAGAUACAAGUGAGGGUUCCGAUCAGGAGACAGAGGAGAGCUAUAAUGAACCACAUGCUCAGAUUGAGGCUCAUGCUUCUAAUGUGAAAAGGACAGAGCCUGAAACUGAUGCCAAAGCACCAUGUGAGUCAGCCCAAGAACGUACGACCCAAAGCAAAGUCAGUCCUGGUUCUGAGGAUAGGGAAAGAUGGCAAGAGAAGGACCAAGACUGCAUGACGAGUACAUUACCACUUCCCAAGGUUGAAAACCCCUCUAAGUUAAGAGCUAACAUCAUAGCAGACAACUGGUGUUCACCUAUAGAGGUCUGUGGUUCACCUGUAGAAAAGUAUGACAAAGUUGCUGACUUUGUCACUCAAUACAAAACCUGCAAGUCAAAGAAAAAAGUACAUCAAAAAAUGGAAAAGGAGAAAACCCUCCAUCCAACGUCAUCUGACAGGCAAAAGCACAAGAAAAGCCUUGGGAGAGCAGAGAGGGGAAGGACACCAUCCCAAACCACUAAAUGCUCUGGGUUGAAGGCAACUGUGGAUAAUCAAUGCAGGGACAUGAAGCCACAUGCAUCACACAAGAAGAGACAUUCAACUGAGAGUGAUGAAAAUCGAUGUAAAGACAAGAAGAGGGGAUCAUCAACUGUGAAAGAGUGUGAGGGCUGUCAAUCCAGGGACAAGAAGCCACCGAAGAGAAGACAUUCAACUGAGAAAGAGAGAGAGGACAAUCAAAGUAGGGACAAGAUGUCACAGAAGAGGAGAAAUUCAACUGAAACUGACGGCAGGAACUCAGACUCCAAAGAGUUACAGUGCCAGUUGGUGGACAUAGAGAGGAGCAGUGGAAACUCACUCCCGUGCCCUGGGGUGAAAACCCUCCAUGUGCAGGGAUCCUCAACCACCACCAUUCCUCUCAAAAUCUCCAUAAACGUCCCCAAAAAGCCUUCCGUAAACGCCUCACCCUCAAAACAUGCAGAGGAAAUCCUCAAAAUCCCGAAGACUAAAGCACAGAACAAAGCUAACAGACACUGCUCCCUUACAAAAUCUGUGUCUCCUGUUGUCAGAGAGAGGCAGAGGAAUGGCGGCAAACAAAAGCAAACAAUUCAAUGUUUAAAAAUCAGAUUGGAAAAGCUGUCCUUACCCCAACAUCUUGCCAGGAAAGGUUGUCCACCAAGCCGGAAGAGGGAGGAAGGUUCUCCACCAAGGCAGAAGAGGGUGGCAGAUAGAGGAGAGCCUGAGGGUUUAGCGGUAAAGGUUUCUAAGCAUCCUGACUUGUCCAAGAAACUAAAACGUAAGGCACAGAGCGACUUGAAAUCCCAACAGAAUUUGACAAAGAUUCCGAAGGUGUUGAAUGGAAUGUUUUCAAAAAGUGAGUGUAAGAAUGACUCGCCGCCAAGGAUUCUGAAGCUUCCGAGGACUCCAGAGGUUUCAAAGGAUUGGCAUGAGAGAGAGAACAGGAAAGAGCCAUCUCCCAGUGCUUCACCUGAAUCACAAAUGCUGGACAAACCUGCAAGAGUGGCACACAAGCCCAAAUCUUUUAUCAAACUUGCCAGUCCCAGUGGUUACAGCCCAGGUAGUCAUUCUUGCCCUCAUACGGCCAUGGUGUCACCGUCACAUGGCAACGUAGAUUUUGGGGAAAAAGUCUCUGCGAGGCAACAGGUGUUCUCAGAUUGGGAGAGCAGCUUUGUCCCGACUCCAAGCCCCUGGACUCGCAGGCAAUCAGGGUGUCCUCCAGAGGAAGUGGAAGGUCAACAGGCCAGUCCCAGGUCCAGCUCGGAGACCAGGAUCAUCCGACCCAUUCUAAAACGUGUCGAUGCUCCGCCGAAACCCAAGCGGAACAUCAGCUUUUCUUUGUAUCCAAGGAACGUGCACUACUUCAAGCCCUGCGAAUAUGAAAAUUACGCCAUGUUCAACAGGUCUUACACGGAUCCUGAAGAUGCACAGUGUUCUGAAGAUGCUCCUGUGAACUGCCAGAACACGGAGGAACAGUCCCCCGUUAUGGAAGAAAAGCUGCGAGAUAUAGGGGAGCUGAAGCCUGGACCAAGUGUUUUUUGUGAAAAGAGCUUCAAAAGGAAGUGGCAAAUGCAGGAUCCUGCUGCCAUUUUGAUGAAGAGUAUUUGUCAGGCAAAGCAUUGGACGAAGUCUCUCCAUCGUGAACCUCCGAAAGACUUCAGACACUCAGCAAAAAUAACUGGAGUUGGUUACAAGUGGUCCGAGAGGCAGAAGAAGAGGCCAAAUUAAAUUGAAGAAAAAUCUCAGACCUAGACUGACUGACUGUUGGGUUCUGAUUGGAAUCAUCUAGAUGAAAGGGUUCCUCUCAGAAUUCAAGUCCCCGUCACGGUCACUGUCCACGUUCCUUUCAGAAUGUAAGCCCCCUCGUGGUCGGGAGAGACGUGAUUCGUAAGCAUAUCAGUCGGACAUGACAGGAUACACCAGACAGAACAGUAGUUGAUGUCAACCUGCAAAAACAAUACUUUUACCUCAAACCUGACAUCAUGCCUAUGCUGUUCUUUAAAAAAAAAAACUUGAAACCCUACAUAUUUAGGCUACAUUAUGCAGUUUACUUUUCUACAUGUUUUCAUCUGUUUUUAAAUGAAUAAAUGUCUGAUUUCUCUCCCUAAUUAAUAGGGUUGGUUAGCUGUGGUUGAAGUCAGAAGUGUGUAUUAUAUAGUAUGUACAUGUGUUAUUGUUACCUGGACACCUAACGGUGAUUGGUGUUUGGUUAUCUGUAUUCCUAUAGUAUUGUUUGCCUACAUUGUUAGGACACCAUCAUAGUGAUGGUAUUGGACAUUGUUUGUUUACAGUGUUUUCUAUUGCAACCAGAAAAAAACGACAACUUUUUGUUGUUGUUGUAAUAUGUUCUUUUUUUUAACGCUGGUGGUAAAGUGGGUAAAUGUAUCGUGGAUAUCGACAUUAAAUGAUGUUUGAAAGCCAUUAUGUCGCUUUUUUAAAAUGUGAUUUCUUGCACUGGUUUAUAGUUUUGUGGCCAUAGAUGAUGUUUCGGGUAUUGAGGAAUGUAUGUAGUUUACAGGUCACUGGUAUUAUACUACAUCUUAAAGUUGUCAAUCCCAUGUUUUGUUUUUAAUAUUUGUACGUUUUGAUGCUGUAUUGGUUUUUUUUAUGUACACCUCUGUUUACUGUAUUGUUAUGGCACUGAACUAAUAUAAAUAUAUACAAUAUG